GAAGGUAGCUGAUGGUUUUACUAGCAUUUACAACUUCUCUUUGUAAAAGGUAUAUAUGCUACAUAUUUAUGUAUGUACAAAGUAUUAAACUUCUAAAACUGGGGCCGGGUGGAAAAAUGGAGUUAGGCCACAAUUUAAAUGUAUUGUGCAAUAAUCUAGUCAUUAAAAUAACCGUGAGGUUUAAGGUCACCAGGAACUCUUGUGACAAAAGUGCAAGUGAAGACUACAUUCCUCCCCCAGGUGCUAUUGGUCAUCACUGGUCUUCAUAGUCAAGCCACGUCU
rnacentral:lncRNA from 1 species